UACAGAGGGGGCAAGCGUUAUUCGGAAUUAUUGGGCGUAAAGGGCGCGUAGGCGGCUUGGCAAGUGGGAGGUGAAAUCCCUCGGCUUAACCGAGGAACUGCCCUCCAAACUGCUUGGCUUGAGACCGGGAGAGGUGAGUGGAAUUCCCAGUGUAGCGGUGAAAUGCGUAGAUAUUGGGAGGAACACCAGUGGCGAAGGCGGCUCACUGGACCGGUACUGACGCUGAUGCGCGAAAGCGUGGGGAGCAAACGGG
rnacentral:rRNA from 1 species